UACGUAGGGGGCUAGCGUUGUCCGGAAUCAUUGGGCGUAAAGAGCGUGUAGGCGGUCCGGUAAGUCCGCUGUGAAAGUCGGGGGCUCAACCCUCGAAUGCCGGUGGAUACUGUCGGGCUAGAGUACGGAAGAGGCGAGUGGAAUUCCUGGUGUAGCGGGUGAAAUGCGCAGAUAUCAGGAGGAACACCUAUUGCGAAGGCAGCUCGCUGGGACGUAACUGACGCUGAGACGCGAAAGCGUGGGGAGCAAACAGG
rnacentral:rRNA from 1 species